GAUGAACGCUGGCGGCGUGCCUAACACAUGCAAGUCGAGCGAUUCUCUUCGGAGAAGAGCGGCGGACGGGUGAGUAACGCGUGGGUAACCUGCCCUGUACACACGGAUAACAUACCGAAAGGUAUGCCAAUACGAGAUAAUAUACUUUUAUCGCAUGGUAGAAGUAUCAAAGCUUUUGCGGUACAGGAUGGACCCGCGUCUGAUUAGCUAGUUGGUAAGGUAACGGCUUACCAAGGCGACGAUCAGUAGCCGACCUGAGAGGGUGAUCGGCCACAUUGGAACUGAGACACGGUCCAAACUCCUACGGGAGGCAGCAGUGGGGAAUAUUGCACAAUGGGCGAAAGCCUGGUGCAGCAACGCCGCGUGAGCGAUGAAGGCCUUCGGGUCGUAAAGCUCUGUCCUCAAGGAAGAUAAUGACGGUACUUGAGGAGGAAGCCCCGGCUAACUACGUGCCAGCAGCCGCGGUAAUACGUAGGGGGCUAGCGUUAUCCGGAAUUACUGGGCGUAAAGGGUGCGUAGGUGGUUUCUUAAGUCAGAGGUGAAAGGCUACGGCUCAACCGUAGUAAGCCUUUGAAACUGGGGAACUUGAGUGCAGGAGAGGAGAGUGGAAUUCCUAGUGUAGCGGUGAAAUGCGUAGAUAUUA
rnacentral:rRNA from 1 species